CAGUAGCCGCGGUAAUACGUAGGGUGCAAGCGUUAAUCGGAAUUACUGGGCGUAAAGCGUGCGCAGGCGGUUUGUUAAGACAGAUGUGAAAUCCCCGGGCUCAACCUGGGAACUGCAUUUGUGACUGGCAAGCUAGAGUAUGGCAGAGGGGGGUGGAAUUCCGCGUGUAGCAGUGAAAUGCGUAGAUAUGCGGAGGAACACCGAUGGCGAAGGCAGCCCCCUGGGCCAAUACUGACGCUCAUGCACGAAAGCGUGGGGAGCAAACAGGAUUAGAGACCCCCGUAGUCCCUGUCUCUUAUAA
rnacentral:rRNA from 1 species